rnacentral:rRNA from 1 species
GAUGAACGCUGGCGGCGUGCCUAAUACAUGCAAGUCGAGCGAACAGACGAGGAGCUUGCUCCUCUGACGUUAGCGGCGGACGGGUGAGUAACACGUGGAUAACCUACCUAUAAGACUGGGAUAACUUCGGGAAACCGGAGCUAAUACCGGAUAAUAUAUUGAACCGCAUGGUUCAAUAGUGAAAGACGGUUUUGCUGUCACUUAUAGAUGGAUCCGCGCCGCAUUAGCUAGUUGGUAAGGUAACGGCUUACCAAGGCAACGAUGCGUAGCCGACCUGAGAGGGUGAUCGCCCACACUGGAACUGAGACACGGUCCAGACUCCUACGGGAGGCAGCAGUAGGGAAUCUUCCGCAAUGGGCGAAAGCCUGACGGAGCAACGCCGCGUGAGUGAUGAAGGUCUUCGGAUCGUAAAACUCUGUUAUUAAGGAAGAACAAAUGUGUAAGUAACUAUGCACGUCUUGACGGUACCUAAUCAGAAAGCCACGGCUAACUACGUG